GGAGCGGCGGGAUGUGAGGUUUGGGUUCGUGCCCGCCGAGGCCUGAGAUCUGCUCAGGUGCCUGGGAGCUGCCGUGCCUUGCCGCCCCGAUACGCAUCGCUUGGCGGCAUGGCCGGGCUCGCCCAGGCCGAGGGAGCGUCUCCCGGGCUCCUUGGAGACUGGCCGCUGGAGGAGGAGAAAGCGGACCUUAUCUCCGCCGGCGUGUGUUUGGACGGGUUGGCGCGGGCUCUGCCCGGAGAAGGGGUGGGACGUGCCGGGAAGCCUUCCAGGAGGUCGGCGGCGCUCCGCUGCUUGGGGCAGGAGCGGCCCCGGGCGGGCUCGCGUGUUCUCCCUAGCAUGCAGGAUCAUGGCGGUUAGCACUAAGCUGAGGAGGAUUUGGAGUCGUCGCUGUCUGUGGACUCGAUGCUAUAAAAGUUUCUUGCUGGCAAUAAACGUCGGCAGUGGGGAGAAAUUUGCCAUCUCGAGUUCAUGUGGGUCCUAGAACACCAUCCAACGUUGUCAGCAGUCGGCUAUGGAUUAGGUGGAUGCAGAGCAGUAAUCCUACACCAGUUCUCAAUGCCUUAUGUAUGAAGGGGGAAAUCUCCCUUUGAGCUGCUUGCCUUGAUAAACAGAAAGUGCAGUGAAACGAGACGGUGGUGGUUAGCACAAAUCCGUUUCCUUGGAUUCGAGCCAGUGAGCGAAUGCCUGAGGGCUGAUGUCCAGCAUCUCCCACUCAUGUACUCCUUUGCCCUCGGACCGCGUCGGUACCGACUGCCCAGAAAACAGCUCUGGCCUGCAGCUUGGGGUCGGGUUUGGUUUUAAGGAAAUUGUGUGUACUGGGGUGUUUCCCAGCCCUUUCAGCACCGAACCAAACCUAUCCGCUGAAACUUGUGUGGCAGGGUUGUGUGCUGCCAGGCGUGAUGUGAGACUCUGGGUGGCCUGUAGACGUCCUCCAUCUGUCACUCUUUCUGGCUUUCGAUUUCGUGCCCGAGGCCUCUUCUUGUGUUGAUGAAGCCGCCAGGGACAGGCGUGGGUCAGUGCCUCAGCCCCUGGCACUCGCCACUUUGAGGAGAAGGGGAAAGGGAAGGGGGAAGUGCAGAAAUACAGCCUCUCGGACUUCCAGCCUAUGCCAGGGAAUUACACAGCAUCACACACUAUUAUUGACGCUGAAAUAGACCUCCUGAGAUCAUCGGGUCCAGCCUAUGACCUUACACCACCACAUUGACUAGACCGUAUCAGUGCCACGUCCAGUCUUAAUCAUAGAAUCAUAGAAUGAACCAGGUUGGAAGAGACCUCCAAGAUCAUCCAGUCCAACCUAGCACCCAGCCCUAUCCAGUCAACUAGACCAUGGCACUAAGUGCCUCAUCCAGUGCCUGCCUGCUUCUUUACCAGUAGGUAAAGAGCACAGCUGAUCUGUCCCUCAGUACAACUCUGGUAGACUGAACCUCUCAGGGGCUGUAAUGAUAACUCCUAGACAUUGUGGAACUUUCCAGUUAUUUGAGGAAAUAAUUGUUUCAGAAUAAACCAGUGUUUCUUAAUGCAGACCUUGUUUGUUAUAUUCUGAAGCACACCUUGAAAUGCAACACUGAACACAAAUUUCUUUUUGAUUGGGUUAAUGGAAACAAUUUCUCUCUUCAGCAAGCACUCGCUUUCUGAGUGAAACUUGAACAUGUCUUGUCAAUCAUUGAUUAAUUUCUUCUUUUUCCUCUUGGGCCCACCUGAAGAUGUCAUGUAUCUCUCAAAAGCAUGUAAUCUGAAAGGAUGCUGAGCAAAGAUUUUAUUUUUCAGACCAGUCCAACAGCUACUGCUUGAUCUGACAAAUAGGUCAGGCAAACUUAUUUUUGGAAAACCAGUUUGGUCAGCUGAUGAAGGGCCUUGGAGUGCGUUUAAUAAAGAAAAUCACAAUUAAUGCCUAACUGUUAUUUUUCUGAUUUGAUGUUUCAUGCCAUAGAGUCAUACAAUACAGGCUAUAGGGGACCUCAGAGGGGCAUCCCAUUCAACCUUGCUGCUCAAAGCAGGGUCAGAGAUGAGAGAAGGUUGCUGGCAACUUUAUCCAAUCGUUAAAAAAAAAUCAAAGAAUUUAGCAUAACCACACAAUCUCUCUGGGCAACCCUUUCCAGUGCUUGACUGCUCAUAGUGGAAAGGUUUUUCUUCAUAUCUUGCUGAAACCUCUCUUUUUCAGUUUAUGCUCAUUGUCUCUCUUCCUCUUUCUCGGCUAGGUUGGGGCUUAUGUUAGUUAAGGCUGCAAAAAAUAACCUCUUAUUUCUUGUCAGUAUUUCUGCAUGCAUUUGGAGGGACAAUUACAGUAUCCUUUAAGCUCUAAGGCAAGGUCUUGCCUUAAACACCUCCAGGGAUUUCCCACCGCCUCCCUGGGCAGGUGGUGCGAAUGUAAGAAUUAAAUCCUUGGAACCUUAAAACAGUUUAACUGUUCUUAAAAGUUAUUUUUUCAGCUUGUGAGCAGAAAUGUGUGCGAUUACUGACAAAACCACGGGCAGUAACAAAGAGCAUGCUACAAAAUAGAACCUUAAAACAGAGUGGAGGAGGCUUAAUUUUUAAAUGCACAAUCCUCUGUUGAGCUGAAGAGAGACCCUGGAUUGUACAGCUUUAGUUUUAAUUCAUUUUUUACUGAACAUUGCAAUUUAUCAAAAAUUAAAUUUAUUGCACUUUAAUUAUGCUCUCUGAUGUGCACAGACAAUGCAGAUGGCUCUUAAUAUACUGGUUGGUGUAGUGAAAUUGUCAGUAGUGUUGUAAGACACAGUCAUGGUCUAAAAACCUCUAGUAAGAAGUUACAUAUUUAUGGUUCACUUAGACAUGAUUGAGUUACCAGGUCAAAUUGCUAGUAUGAUCGUUGAAAACUACUGCAGUGAUUCAUGAAAACAAGUAGGUUGAAAUUGGUGUUGCCUGUGCUAUUUCACUUUCCUUGAAGUGGUGGUAAUCCCUAGGUUGUCCUGGUUUGUGACUGAGGUGGGCAGCUGUGGACUUGGUUCCUCCUUUGGACAAGUUGUUAAUUUCUGAGCUUUUGUUCACAAGUUAGUGAUGAAGUUAGGAUAAACUCCACUUACUCGUUUUAUAGAAGAAUACUUAACACUUGCCUUUCUAAGAGGAAAAAUGAACGUUUGUAUUUCAUCCUGUAUGUGGCAGUACAUGAUAGUUUAUGACUCUUUUGGAAAUGUUCUUUAUCUUAAAUGCAGAAAACAAGAAAAAUUUAGGCCUCAACACUUCUGUGCUGCUAUUCUACUUCUCUUUUUAUCUUGCUGCUAAUUGGAUUAAAAGCUGUUUUGCUUACUAUGGCAUCCCGGGAGGAGAUUACUGUCUGUGAAGAUGAAGUAAGGUCUCGGUACAGCCACCUAGAGAAGAUGACAGAUCUGGUGGCUGUUUGGGAAGUAGCUUUAAGUGAUGGUAUUCAUAAGAUUGAAUUUGAACAUGGGACUACUUCAGGAAAACGCGUUGUCUAUGUUGAUGGAAAGGAAGAGAUAAGAAAAGAAUGGAUGUUUAAAUUAGUGGGUAAGGAAACGUUCACUGUUGGAGCAGCCAAAACGAGAGCUGCUAUUAACAUUGAUGCAGUCAGUGGCUUUGCAUAUGAAUAUACUUUGGAGAUCAAUGGAAAGAGCCUCAAGAAGCAUAUGGAGAACAGGUCAAAAACAACCAAUACUUGGAUACUGAGCUUGGGCGGUACAGACUAUAGAGUUGUUCUAGAAAAGGACACUAUGGAUGUGUGGUGCAAUGGUCAGAAAAUGGAAACAGCGGGUGAAUUCGUAGAAGAUGGGACUGAAACUCAUUUCAGUGUUGGUGAUCACAGUUGUUACAUUAAGGCUGUCAGCAGUGGAAAACGAAAGGAAGGAAUUAUUCAUACCCUUAUUGUGGAUGACAGAGAAAUCCCAGAGGCUGUGGAGUAGCCUCUAGUUAACUGAUUAUUGUAGGACUAAAAUCAGGAAUUUUCAAUUACUGUGGUAAUUAUUUUCAUAUGUACUACUUGGUACAUCUAGUUUGUGCUGGGUUUAUUUUCUAGUUUCUGUAUAUGAAAUAAUUCUUUUUGAGGACCAGAAGAAAAUUAUUACAUACAACCUCUUGUAUUACCAGUUUUUAAAAAACUAUAUAUAUAUAUAUAUGUAAUAUAUAUUAUACUACUAAGCGAAGAGAACCUUGAACCUAAGUAGAAAUCAUAUACUAGGAAAAAAUCUUGCUCUAAUAAAGUGGAACAUAAAUACUAAAACUGAAUCCUUGUAAACUGUGGGUGUGUAUGUGGAGGAAGGAGAAAGCAUGUUCUGGGUAUUCAAGUAAGCUGUUAGAAGCUUCCUCAGUAAUCACUUUUUUCCUAUUAAACCCACUAUCAAGGCUUAUCAGAUGCAGUUAACUGAAUGGUUACUAAUGGAGUACUGAUACCAGUACUUGUGUGAUAGUAUUAAAGUAAUACUUUGCUAUGGAAACUGUUCUUUGUUCUGAAUAGGAGAAAAGAUGCUAUGCUGUGCCAAAAAAAAAUUCCUUAUGGUUUUCUGCAAACUGAUACUCGUCAGAUAUUGUUGCACCUCCCAAAGAGACUGAACACCACUGAGAAGCCUGAAGCUCAAAUACAGUUUAAGUCAUGUUGUUAAGACUAUAUAAAAAAUAACAGGUUAGCAAAUAUGUAAAAUUCAUUAUUUAUUUUGAAUACAAGAUAUUACAAACAUUGUAAAUACUUAACUAAUAAAAGGUACAACAGCAA